UACGUAGGGUGCGAGCGUUAAUCGGAAUUACUGGGCGUAAAGCGUGCGCAGGCGGUUCGUUGUGUCGGCGGUGAAAGCCCCGGGCUUAACCUGGGAAUGGCCGUUGAAACUGGCGAACUGGAGUGUGGCAGAGGGGGGUGGAAUUCCGCGUGUAGCAGUGAAAUGCGUAGAGAUGCGGAGGAACACCGAUGGCGAAGGCAGCCCCCUGGGCUGACACUGAGGCGCGACAGCGUGGGGAGCAAACAGG
rnacentral:rRNA from 1 species